GCAUGGGAGUGGACUGAACAAAGAGAAAAUUAGAAAAUAUACAGAUUGUCCCUGAUGGUCAGACUUUCCUGUAAAGGACCCAAAUCUGUUGCCCUUGCAUCCAUGUCAAUGGGACUGCUUUCCCAGCAAGAUUCUACUGUUUUCUCCUUGAAAACUUUUCCACACUGUCAUAAUCCUGCAUUCACAUGGAUCCCCAAUGAAACCAAGCUGUCUCUAUGAGGGUGCAGGGGUCCACCUUCAUAGAGCAACUUUCAGGAUCAGAGCUUAAAUUCAACCUAGUCCAGUGCUUUGAGGGCUGCCUAGGAUAGAAGAACAGAACAGAUUGCACCAAUGAACUAGAACAUAAACACUUUGCAGGCUAAGAAGACAUUCUGGAAAGAUGCAUGAAAAUGCAACUUUCACCUCAAACUCCUUUAUCCUUCUUCCCAGAACCAUGUAGUCUGCAGUGACCCGUGCUCAAGGUUAUUCUUGGCAAUAUCAUUGGUGCCUACGUGGAGAAGUAGGAAGUGGAGAAGUGGAGAAAGUAGGAUGGCUUGAUCAACCUUAGUAAUAGAGAUGCAGCUGUGUUAGUCUGGUCUUGCUGAAACAAAAGACAGGACUAUGCAGCACUUUAAAGACUAACAAGAUGGUUUAUUAGGUGAUGAGCUUUCAUGGGCCAGACC